rnacentral:rRNA from 1 species
UACAGAGGGUGCAAGCGUUAUCCGGAUUCACUGGGUUUAAAGGGUGCGUAGGCGGGCUUGUAAGUCAGUGGUGAAAGCCCGGAGCUUAACUCCGGAACUGCCAUUGAUACUGCAAGUCUUGAGUACACUUGAGGUGGGCGGAAUACAUCAUGUAGUGGUGAAAUACUUAGAUAUGAUGUAGAACACCGAUUGCGAAGGCAGCUCACUAAAUUGUAACUGACGCUGAGGCACGAAAGCGUGGGGAUCACACAGG